UGUGGUUACACUGUUUUAAGGAGCUUGUUAUAUCCUGCAAUAGUUCUUGAUUAACAUUACUAUCAAGGCAAUAAGGAUAAAUUUUGUCGAAGAGGAUAAGAAUACUGGAAUGGAGAGCUACACUAAGUCAGGACAUCAGUGUUUAAAGAGUGUUUAAAGAAGAGGAAAAACGACGACCAUACUAUCCUCUUGGGAUCCCCCUCCCUCAUAUACAUAUCUCUACCUAGCUAUGGAUAGUGGACAGCCAUCAAGAGAUCUAAAUCUAAAUUAAAUCU